rnacentral:rRNA from 1 species
AGAGUGUAUCUUAAUGUUGCUGCAGUUAAAAAGCUCGUAGUUGAACCUCUGGCUAGUGAAGGCCCAUCCGGGCAUUUCGCUAGUCAUCCGCUCGGGGAAGCAGUAUUUCUUUAAUCGGUUUUACUGUAGAUCCAGCAUUUUACUUUGAAGAAAUUAGAGUGUUCCUGGCAGGCUUAGCUUGCAUAUAUUAGCAUGGAAUAAUGGAAUAGGACCUUGUCUGUUUUAUUGGUUGACAGAUAGGUAAUGAUUAACAGGGACAGUCGGGGGCAUUCGUACUCAGUGGCUAGAGGUGAAAUUCUUAGAUUCGCUGAAGACGAACUAAUG